UACGGAGGGUGCAAGCGUUAUCCGGAUUUACUGGGGUUAAAGGGUGCGCAGGCGGAUAUGUAAGUCAGUGGUGAAAUCUCCGGGCUUAACCCGGAAACUGCCGUUGAUACUAUAUAUCUUGAAUGCUGUGGAGGUAAGCAGAAUAUGUCAUGUAGCGGUGAAAUGCUUAGAUAUGACAUAGAAUACCUAUUGCGAAGGCAGCUUACUACGCAGAUAUUGACGCUCAUGCACGAAAGCGUGGGGAUCAAACAGG
rnacentral:rRNA from 1 species